rnacentral:rRNA from 1 species
UGCAGUCGAACGCCCCGCAAGGGGAGUGGCAGACGGGUGAGUAACGCGUGGGAAUCUACCGUGCCCUGCGGAAUAGCUCCGGGAAACUGGAAUUAAUACCGCAUACGCCCUACGGGGGAAAGAUUUAUCGGGGUAUGAUGAGCCCGCGUUGGAUUAGCUAGUUGGUGGGGUAAAGGCCUACCAAGGCGACGAUCCAUAGCUGGUCUGAGAGGAUGAUCAGCCACAUUGGGACUGAGACACGGCCCAAACUCCUACGGGAGGCAGCAGUGGGGAAUAUUGGACAAUGGGCGCAAGCCUGAUCCAGCCAUGCCGCGUGAGUGAUGAAGGCCUUAGGGUUGUAAAGCUCUUUCACCGGAGAAGAUAAUGACGGUAUCCGGAGAAGAAGCCCCGGCUAACUUCGUGCC